CCCAAUACGUGCGAGUAAACUCAGUUUUUACGAUGAAACUCGUUGUUUUAAUCUUCGCGAUUCUCUCAAUCGCUGUCCUGGUCGCCUCAUCGGCUGUGGCGGACGAACCAAACGUGUAUGUACUGGGAAAUCCUGAGAGUCCUGAUGGAUCAGACAGACUCGUGAGAGAGCAACGUGGCAUCAGGGACUUCUUCGGCAAAAUAUUGGGCUUCUUCGGCUAAAACCAAAGAAGACCAAAUCCAGUCCAUUGAAUCCAGUAACUACUCUAUUCGCAAAUACCAAAACUGUGUGAUGUACUCUAAUUUCGAUAAAGUCCAAUAAAUUUUCAAAAAAUUCCUAGCUAAA